rnacentral:rRNA from 1 species
UACGUAGGGCGCAAGCGUUGUCCGGAAUUACUGGGCGUAAAGCGUGCGCAGGCGGCUUCUCAAGUCAGGGGUGAAAGCCCAGAGCUCAACUCUGGAAUUGCCUUUGAGACUGAGUGGCUUGAGUACGAGAGAGGUGAGUGGAAUUCCCAGUAUAGAGGUGAAAUUCGUAGAUAUUGGGAAGAACACCGGUGGCGAAGGCGGCUCACUGGCUCGUAACUGACGCUCAUGCACGACAGCGUGGGGAUCAAACAGG